rnacentral:rRNA from 1 species
GACGAACGCUGGCGGCGUGCUUAACACAUGCAAGUCGAACAGAAAGGCCCUGCUUUUGUGGGGUGCUCGAGUGGCGAACGGGUGAGUAACACGUGAGUAACCUGCCCUUGACUUUGGGAUAACUUCAGGAAACUGGGGCUAAUACCGGAUAGGAGCUCCUGCUGCAUGGUGGGGGUUGGAAAGUUUCGGCGGUUGGGGAUGGACUCGCGGCUUAUCAGCUUGUUGGUGGGGUUGUGGCUUACCAAGGCUUUGACGGGUAGCCGGCCUGAGAGGGUGACCGGCCACAUUGGGACUGAGAUACGGCCCAGACUCCUACGGGAGGCAGCAGUGGGGAAUAUUGCACAAUGGGCGGAAGCCUGAUGCAGCAACGCCGCGUGCGGGAUGACGGCCUUCGGGUUGUAAACCGCUUUCGCCUGUGACGAAGCGUGAGUGACGGUAAUGGGUAAAGAAGCACCGGCUAACUACGUG